CCCAGGUCCACCCAGCUGCGCGCGGUGGGGAGUGGGGGGUGCGAGUCCCCUCUUGGCGCUGACACCUGCACGCAAGGGGCGUGAAGACACUCGGAUCCGCGCCAAGCCCUUGCGGUGAGUCCCUCUUGGGGUGCGUCCCACGGCCCCAGAAGCUGGGUAGUGGGGUUAGGUCUCCACCCACCUGCGUCCCCUCCUGCCCAGGGCUCUCACCGCACCCCCACCUUCUGUGCACGGGGGCCUGGAGAAGAAUAGGGAAUGUGUAAGUCGGGGCAUUUAAAAGCGGCUUUAUUGUGGUGUGGUUGGUAUACAAGAAACCACACAUCUAAAUUUGGUGAGAAUAACAACCUUACAGUGGAGAAACCACCUGACUCUGUGGCCAAGGUUAAAUCCUCAGUAAUAGGACAGACAGCCAUCAUGUAGCCUCUUGAUGCGAUGGACUGAGAAAGACCCAGCAUCACUUUGUGGUGUUCUUGCCCCAAAUGCACAAUCUGCCAUCGUGAGAACACUCCGGACUCACAUCGAAAGACGGCUACAAAGGACUGAUCAGUACGCUCCACAAAUGAAGGAAGCGGUCGUAAAAGACAAGAAAGGCCCGAGUCACUGUUACGGACUGGAAAAGACGAAGGAGAAAUAGCUAAAUGCAGUGUGGGCCCUCGAAUAGACAAGGACGUUCGUGGAAAAACGAGUGACACUGACCAAGGCCGGUGGUUCCGGGUCCUGCUUUCCCACGGAUGACGUCCUGCUUCAAAGCUCUUGUGAAGGGAUAAUUGGGGCAGUUGGGCGCCAGUCUGUCUGCCUCUCUUUCUUCCCCUUUGAUCCUGGGUCCUCUUUUCCUGACUUCCCUUGCAUUGAACAUUUUUUGGUCCAUUUUC